rnacentral:rRNA from 1 species
CUCGUAGGCGGUUCGUCGCGUCCGGUGUGAAAGUCCAUCGCUUAACGGUGGAUCUGCGCCGGGUACGGGCGGGCUGGAGUGCGGUAGGGGAGACUGGAAUUCCCGGUGUAACGGUGGAAUGUGUAGAUAUCGGGAAGAACAUCUAUGGCGAAGGCAGGUCUCUGGGCCGUUACUGACGCUGAGGAGCGAAAGCGUGGGGAGCGAACA